GACGGAGGGGGCUAGCGUUGUUCGGAAUGACUGGGCGUAAAGGGCGCGUAGGCGGUUUUUUAAGUGAGGCGUGAAAGCCCUGGGCUUAACCCAGGAGGUGCGUUUCAUACUGGAAGACUUGAGUACGAGAGAGGAAAGCGGAAUUCCUAGUGUAGAGGUGAAAUUCGUAGAUAUUAGGAAGAACACCAGUGGCGAAGGCGGCUUUCUGGCUCGUAACUGACGCUGAGGCGCGAAAGCGUGGGGAGCGAACAGG
rnacentral:rRNA from 1 species